CCAGAAUGGCGUCCCGCUAUGAAGCAGGAAAUACAUUUCUGGCUUGUUAAAACUUCAUUUUUUGAAAGUUUUGGUGGUGAUAUACUUAAUAGCUUAGUUUAGAGACGACAGUGGAGAUACAGGAACAGCAGGUGUUGCCAAUGUGCUGGCAGACGGAGACGAAACAGUUGUGAAAGUGUACAAACGGAGGAAGAACAAGAUACUACAUUCAGAAGCAACCCCACUCUUCCCCCCUCCUGCACUU